AUUGAACGCUGGCGGCAGGCUUAACACAUGCAAGUCGAGCGGAGAUGAGGUGCUUGCACCUUAUCUUAGCGGCGGACGGGUGAGUAAUGCUUAGGAAUCUGCCUAUUAGUGGGGGACGACAUUCCGAAAGGAAUGCUAAUACCGCAUACGUCCUACGGGAGAAAGCAGGGGAUCUUCGGACCUUGCGCUAAUCGAUGAGCCUAAGUCGGAUUAGCUAGUUGGUGGGGUAAAGGCCUACCAAGGCGACGAUCUGUAGCGGGUCUGAGAGGAUGAUCCGCCACACUGGGACUGAGACACGGCCCAGACUCAUACGGGAGGCAGCAGUGGGGAAUAUUGGACAAUGGGGGGAACCCUGAUCCAGCCAUGCCGCGUGUGUGAAGAAGGCCUUAUGGUUGUAAAGCACUUUAAGCGAGGAGGAGGCUACUGAGACUAAUACUCUUGGAUAGUGGACGUUACUCGCAGAAUGAGCACCGGCUAACUCUGUGCCAGCCGCCGCAGUAACAC
rnacentral:rRNA from 1 species